CCGAGUUGUAAUUUAGAGAAGCGUCUUCCGCGCCGGACCGUGCAAAGUCUCCUGGAAUGGAGCGUCAUAGAGGGUGAGAAUCCCGUCUUUGGCACGGAUCCCUGGUGCUUCUGUGAUGCGCUCUCGAAGAGUCGAGUUGUUUGGGAAUGCAGCUCAAAAUGGGUGGUGAACUCCAUCUAAAGCUAAAUAUUGGCGAGAGACCGAUAGCGAACAAGUACCGUGAGGGAAAGAUGAAAAGCACUUUGGAAAGAGAGUGAAACAGUACGUGAAAUUGUUGAAAGGGAAACGCUUGAAGUCAGUCGCGUCGACCGAGACUCAGCCUUGCCUUGGCUUGGUGUACUUCUCGGCCUGACGGGUCAGCGUCAAUUUCGCCCCUCGGAUAAUGGCAAGGGAAAGGUGGCACCUUUACGGGUGUGUUAUAGUCUCCUGUCGCAUGCGAGGGGUGGGAUUGAGGAACUCAGCGCGCACCUCGGUGUCGGGGCUUUGGCCCACGUCACGCGCUUAGGAUGCUGGCGUAAUGGCUUUAAACGACCCGUCUUGAAACACGGACCAAGGAGUCCAACAUGCCCGCGAGUGUUCGGGUGGAAAACCCGUGCGCGUAAUGAAAGUGAAAGUUGGGACCUCUGUCGUGGAGGGCACCGACGCCCGGACCAGACCUUCUGUGACGGAUCUGCGGUAGAGCGUGUGUGUUGGGACCCGAAAGAUGGUGAACUAUGCCUGAAUAGGGUGAAGCCAGAGGAAACUCUGGUGGAGGCUCGUAGCGAUUCUGACGUGCAAAUCGAUCGYCAAAUUUGGGUAUA
rnacentral:rRNA from 1 species